CAGUCGCCGCGGUAAUACGAAGGGUGCAAGCGUUACUCGGAAUUACUGGGCGUAAAGCGUGCGUAGGUGGUGGUUUAAGUCCGUUGUGAAAGCCCUGGGCUCAACCUGGGAAUUGCAGUGGAUACUGGGUCACUAGAGUGUGGUAGAGGAUAGUGGAAUUUCCGGUGUAGCAGUGAAAUGCGUAGAGAUCGGAAGGAACAUCUGUGGCGAAGGCGACUAUCUGGGCCAACACUGACACUGAGGCACGAAAGCGUGGGGAGCAAACAGGAUUAGAUACCCCGGUGUCCCUGUCUCUUAUACC
rnacentral:rRNA from 1 species